rnacentral:rRNA from 1 species
UACGUAGGGUGCAAGCGUUAAUCGGAAUUACUGGGCGUAAAGCGUGCGCAGGCGGUUUUGUAAGUCAGCUGUGAAAUCCCCGGGCUUAACCUGGGAAUGGCAGUUGAGACUGCAAGGCUAGAGUGUGUCAGAGGGGGGUAGAAUUCCACGUGUAGCAGUGAAAUGCGUAGAGAUGUGGAGGAACACCGAUGGCGAAGGCAGCCCCCUGGGAUAACACUGACGCUCAUGCACGAAAGCGUGGGGAGCAAACAGG